rnacentral:tRNA from 1 species
GCGCUGCUAGCUCAAUUGGUUAGAGCAGGGGCCUCUUAAGCCCAAGGUUCCGGGUUCGAUUCCCGGGCGGCGCA